rnacentral:rRNA from 1 species
CCUACGGGAGGCAGCAGUGAGGAAUAUUGGUCAAUGGACGAGCGUCUGAACCAGCCAAGUAGCGUGAAGGAUGACUGCCCUAUGGGUUGUAAACUUCUUUUAUAUGGGAAUAAAACAGGGUAUGCAUACCCUCUUGUAUGUACCAUAUGAAUAAGGAUCGGCUAACUCCGUGCCAGCAGCCGCGGUAAUACGGAGGAUCCGAGCGUUAUCCGGAUUUAUUGGGGUUAAAGGGAGCGUAGGUGGAUUGUUAAGUCAGUUGUGAAAGUUUGCGGCUCAACCGUAAAAUUGCAGUUGAAACUGGCAGUCUUGAGUACAUGAGAGGUAGGCGGAAUGCGUGGUGUAGCGGUGAAAUGCUUAGAUAUCACGAAGAACUCCGAUUGCGAAGGCAGCUCACUGGACUGCAACUGACACUGAUGCUCGAAAGUGUGGGUAUCGAACAGGAUUAGAUACCCCAGUAGUC